AUUGAACGCUGGCGGCAUGCUUUACACAUGCAAGUCGAACGGUAACAGGCCGCAAGGUGCUGACGAGUGGCGAACGGGUGAGUAAUGCAUCGGAACGUGCCCAGUCUUGGGGGAUAACUACUCGAAAGAGUAGCUAAUACCGCAUACGAUCUAUGGAUGAAAGCGGGGGACCGUAAGGCCUCGCGCGAUUGGAGCGGCCGAUGUCAGAUUAGGUAGUUGGUGGGGUAAAGGCUCACCAAGCCAACGAUCUGUAGCUGGUCUGAGAGGACGACCAGCCACACUGGGACUGAGACACGGCCCAGACUCCUACGGGAGGCAGCAGUGGGGAAUUUUGGACAAUGGGCGCAAGCCUGAUCCAGCAAUGCCGCGUGCAGGAAGAAGGCCUUCAGGUUGUAAACUGCUUUUGUACGGAACGAAACGGCUCUGGUUAAUACCCGGGGCUAAUGACGGUACCGUAAGAAUAAGCACCGGCUAACUACGUG
rnacentral:rRNA from 1 species